CAAGAAAAAAAUCAACAAAGCAGUGCUGAAAGGCUGCUUUGUAUGGAGAGCCUGGGGUCUCUCCCUCCUCCAGCACUGCCAGCACAACAUUUGCCCCUGUACUGGCACUUGAGUGAGGUGCUGAAGAAUCCAGGACUGUUUUUGGGGGGAGAGAGGGCAGAACAAGGUGACAAUCACACCAGGGCAUAUCGAUUGUCCUCGAUAAAGGAACCUGGAAGCAGCAGCAGGGAAAGUGUGAGGCCAGGCGGGACUUGAGCAAACAUCCCUCGCUCCCACCGCUCCUGCCUUUCUGAGCAGGGAGCAUUCAGCUCCAAGGAGUAGCUCAAGUGUCGCUUGAUGUUAUCAAUAAAUUGUCAGCCUGAGCAUCCCUGUGUUGCCAAGGGUCACUGGCUGUGGUGUUGGAGGCGCUUUUCCCCCAGGAGGUGUGGGGCAGCCAGCGAGGAGGAUCCUGAGUGUGCAGCACGGAGCAGAGAGCAUCGGCUGCCCCGCCUGGGGGGACAGGGCAAAGACUGUGAAAGACUAGUGGUGACAGAGCAGAAUCCCAGCUCACCCGCUGCCAAACCUGGUCUAAGUCCAGAACCGCGCUCCGAGAGCCAACGGAGCAAUAUUUUGGGGAUGGCCCUCCCUGCAGCAGCAGAUCUACUGCCUGAUGGCAGCAGACAGCCAGGCAGUCAGCUGAGAUGAGACACUUCUCUGCAGAUGGUUAAGCUUAAGCAAAAUGCAUCUACGCUACACUCUCUUGAAUUAAAUUCCAGUCGUUUUGGGAACCUAUUGCUUAAAGGAAAAAGUAGAUCACGUUUCAUUAGAUGAUGCCUGAGAUGAAAAACUGGAUCUGGUUUUAUAGAAAACACGGAUAAUUUUCUCCCG
rnacentral:lncRNA from 1 species